AGCGUACACGGUGGAUGCCCUGGCAGUCAGAGGCGAUGAAGGACGUGCUAAUCUGCGAUAAGCGUCGGUAAGGUGAUAUGAACCGUUAUAACCGGCGAUUUCCGAAUGGGGAAACCCAGUGUGUUUCGACACACUAUCAUUAACUGAAUCCAUAGGUUAAUGAGGCGAACCGGGGGAACUGAAACAUCUAAGUACCCCGAGGAAAAGAAAUCAACCGAGAUUCCCCCAGUAGCGGCGAGCGAACGGGGAGCAGCCCAGAGCCUGAAUCAGUGUGUGUGUUAGUGGAAGCGUCUGGAAAGGCGCGCGAUACAGGGUGACAGCCCCGUACACAAAAAUGCACAUGCUGUGAGCUCGAUGAGUAGGGCGGGACACGUGGUAUCCUGUCUGAAUAUGGGGGGACCAUCCUCCAAGGCUAAAUACUCCUGACUGACCGAUAGUGAACCAGUACCGUGAGGGAAAGGCGAAAAGAACCCCGGCGAGGGGAGUGAAAAAGAACCUGAAACCGUGUACGUACAAGCAGUGGGAGCACGCUUAGGCGUGUGACUGCGUACCUUUUGUAUAAUGGGUCAGCGACUUAUAUUCUGUAGCAAGGUUAACCGAAUAGGGGAGCCGAAGGGAAACCGAGUCUUAACUGGGCGUUAAGUUGCAGGGUAUAGACCCGAAACCCGGUGAUCUAGCCAUGGGCAGGUUGAAGGUUGGGUAACACUAACUGGAGGACCGAACCGACUAAUGUUGAAAAAUUAGCGGAUGACUUGUGGCUGGGGGUGAAAGGCCAAUCAAACCGGGAGAUAGCUGGUUCUCCCCGAAAGCUAUUUAGGUAGCGCCUCGUGAAUUCAUCUCCGGGGGUAGAGCACUGUUUCGGCAAGGGGGUCAUCCCGACUUACCAACCCGAUGCAAACUGCGAAUACCGGAGAAUGUUAUCACGGGAGACACACGGCGGGUGCUAACGUCCGUCGUGAAGAGGGAAACAACCCAGACCGCCAGCUAAGGUCCCAAAGUCAUGGUUAAGUGGGAAACGAUGUGGGAAGGCCCAGACAGCCAGGAUGUUGGCUUAGAAGCAGCCAUCAUUUAAAGAAAGCGUAAUAGCUCACUGGUCGAGUCGGCCUGCGCGGAAGAUGUAACGGGGCUAAACCAUGCACCGAAGCUGCGGCAGCGACGCUGAUGCGUUGUUGGGUAGGGGAGCGUUCUGUAAGCCUGUGAAGGUGUGCUGUGAGGCAUGCUGGAGGUAUCAGAAGUGCGAAUGCUGACAUAAGUAACGAUAAAGCGGGUGAAAAGCCCGCUCGCCGGAAGACCAAGGGUUCCUGUCCAACGUUAAUCGGGGCAGGGUGAGUCGACCCCUAAGGCGAGGCCGAAAGGCGUAGUCGAUGGGAAACAGGUUAAUAUUCCUGUACUUGGUGUUACUGCGAAGGGGGGACGGAGAAGGCUAUGUUGGCCGGGCGACGGUUGUCCCGGUUUAAGCGUGUAGGCUGGUUUUCCAGGCAAAUCCGGAAAAUCAAGGCUGAGGCGUGAUGACGAGGCACUACGGUGCUGAAGCAACAAAUGCCCUGCUUCCAGGAAAAGCCUCUAAGCAUCAGGUAACAUCAAAUCGUACCCCAAACCGACACAGGUGGUCAGGUAGAGAAUACCAAGGCGCUUGAGAGAACUCGGGUGAAGGAACUAGGCAAAAUGGUGCCGUAACUUCGGGAGAAGGCACGCUGAUAUGUAGGUGAAGUCCCUCGCGGAUGGAGCUGAAAUCAGUCGAAGAUACCAGCUGGCUGCAACUGUUUAUUAAAAACACAGCACUGUGCAAACACGAAAGUGGACGUAUACGGUGUGACGCCUGCCCGGUGCCGGAAGGUUAAUUGAUGGGGUUAGCCGCAAGGCGAAGCUCUUGAUCGAAGCCCCGGUAAACGGCGGCCGUAACUAUAACGGUCCUAAGGUAGCGAAAUUCCUUGUCGGGUAAGUUCCGACCUGCACGAAUGGCGUAAUGAUGGCCAGGCUGUCUCCACCCGAGACUCAGUGAAAUUGAACUCGCUGUGAAGAUGCAGUGUACCCGCGGCAAGACGGAAAGACCCCGUGAACCUUUACUAUAGCUUGACACUGAACAUUGAGCCUUGAUGUGUAGGAUAGGUGGGAGGCUUAGAAGUGUGGACGCCAGUCUGCAUGGAGCCGACCUUGAAAUACCACCCUUUAAUGUUUGAUGUUCUAACGUUGACCCGUAAUCCGGGUUGCGGACAGUGUCUGGUGGGUAGUUUGACUGGGGCGGUCUCCUCCUAAAGAGUAACGGAGGAGCACGAAGGUUGGCUAAUCCUGGUCGGACAUCAGGAGGUUAGUGCAAUGGCAUAAGCCAGCUUGACUGCGAGCGUGACGGCGCGAGCAGGUGCGAAAGCAGGUCAUAGUGAUCCGGUGGUUCUGAAUGGAAGGGCCAUCGCUCAACGGAUAAAAGGUACUCCGGGGAUAACAGGCUGAUACCGCCCAAGAGUUCAUAUCGACGGCGGUGUUUGGCACCUCGAUGUCGGCUCAUCACAUCCUGGGGCUGAAGUAGGUCCCAAGGGUAUGGCUGUUCGCCAUUUAAAGUGGUACGCGAGCUGGGUUUAGAACGUCGUGAGACAGUUCGGUCCCUAUCUGCCGUGGGCGCUGGAGAACUGAGGGGGGCUGCUCCUAGUACGAGAGGACCGGAGUGGACGCAUCACUGGUGUUCGGGUUGUCAUGCCAAUGGCACUGCCCGGUAGCUAAAUGCGGAAGAGAUAAGUGCUGAAAGCAUCUAAGCACGAAACUUGCCCCGAGAUGAGUUCU
rnacentral:rRNA from 1 species